AACGAACGCUGGCGGCAGGCCUAACACAUGCAAGUCGAACGCACCUUCGGGUGAGUGGCAGACGGGUGAGUAACACGUGGGAACCUUCCCUAUGGUACGGAAUAGCUCCGGGAAACUGGAAUUAAUACCGUAUAAGCCCUUUGGGGGAAAGAUUUAUCGCCAUAGGAUGGGCCCGCGUCGGAUUAGCUUGUUGGUAAGGUAAAAGCUUACCAAGGCGACGAUCCGUAGCUGGUCUUAGAGGAUGAUCAGCCACACUGGGACUGAGACACGGCCCAG
rnacentral:rRNA from 1 species